rnacentral:lncRNA from 10 species
CUUGACCUGUGUGCUUGGUUUCCAUAGGCAUGGAGGCCUGUGGAAGCAGCUGUCCCGGGCCCAGGGCAGAUGCAGAGAGGCAGAGCCGAAGGACCCAGCCCUGCCCUGGGGUGGUGCCAUGGGAGAGGCAGAGAAGAGGCAGCCUCGCCUGUGUUCCCAGCUUCAGCCAGAUAUGCAUGCGCUUGCAGAGGCUGGCACGCUCUGAGAGCCAAAGCCAGAGACGGGAAGUGGGAAUCACUCCAAGGCUGGAGGGACACACAGACCCAUGAGGAUGGCCAGAGGAGGACGGAGAUCAUACAGGGAGGUCCUGUUCUAAGAGGUCAUGGGUAGGAACCUUCCGCGAAUGCGGGAGGAAAACCCUCUCCUGGGCCAUCUAGGGCAGCCAGACACAUCACACACAGAGGAAUUCUACACUUCCCACAGGUCAAAGGCAGGCCAUCUACAGGGCAGCAUCCUGGAACUGACUGCAGGUGCUCACCAGCAACAGGGUGCUCACCCACAACAGGAUGCAGAGACAACGCAGCCUUCACACCGGAGGAACCAACAGGGCGAGCCCCAAAUUCUACACUGCUGGUAACACAGAGACACAUUCGUGCAACAAAUCAAGGCUCAGCAAACAAAUGGUGAAGGCUCAUCAUAAAUAUCAAAAGGCAUUGGUGAUAAAUAAGAACAAAAAAUAACAACAUCUGACAAAAUAAUUGAUGAGAGAAUCGUGGGUGCUGUGGGGACGGGUGAGUGUGGACAGAAGUUAAAUCACGCUAAUUUCCGUCUCAUCCAGGAGGAGGAUAGAUACACUGAAUGCUUUUGGAUUUAUUUUAAAAGAUAUGCUUAAAAUGUAAGGGUAAUAAAUAUGUCUUGUGUGUUCAUACACAAAUGUACACACAUAGAAUGCACCAAACUGACAGAGGGAAAUAAACUGAAAAUAACAAGGGUUAGCAAUUAUAUAGUUCUCUGCAGUUUUAUAUGACACUUAACAGACAUUAAUUUAUUUACUCUUCACCCAAAUGCUAUGGUAAGAAGUUAUUAUUAUAUCUGUCAAAAUUGGAGUCAUAUCAACUUAGGAAAAAUUUUAAAGUCUAUUGUCAAACAAUUAGAGAAGGCACAGCUCACAAUCCGAGAAACUUUAAACCAAGUGUAAAAAGCAUGUCUUAUGGCAGUCACAGCACAGUUAAUAAAGCAUAAAAAGGAACUAAUCCAACUUUUUCAUGAUUAACUAGCA